UACUGCAGCAGAAGUGUCUUCUAGACACACUUACAAUGUCUGAUCUUGGAAGCUAAGCAGGGUUGGACCUGGUUAGUAUUUGGAUGGAAGACCACCUAGGAAGACCAGGUGCUGUAGGCG
rnacentral:rRNA from 1 species